GCGCACGUGGCGGAANUGGUAGACGCGCUAGCUUGAGGGGUUAGUGAGANUUAUCUCNUGGAAGUUCGAGUCUUCUCGUGCGCA
rnacentral:tRNA from 1 species